rnacentral:tRNA from 1 species
GCGCCUUUAGCUCAGCUGGUAGAGCAACUGACUCUUAAUCAGUGGGUCGUGGGUUCGAUUCCCUCAAGGCGCA